CUCGAGCUCAACUUGGAUCAGCUAUGUUUCUGUCUCUCGUCAACUCAUAUCCCGAUUUGUCCUUCACAAGCCCGUGACAAUGCAGGAGCUGUGAGUGAAGUCACUUUCCACGCAUGGCUUUGGACUGGGUAGAGAUUUUCAAGCCUUGCUGACUUUCGGGAAGAAAAAGCCUAAGGCUGCCUCUAGGUCCGUCUCUCAUUAUCCUGAAGCCUGUUCCUCUGGUGAUUUGCAUUUUUCUCCAUUUGUAGAUUUAAAUGAAUCUGAGGAUAAUGCUGUCUGCUGUCCAACUCUUCCUGCCUAUUGACCAAAUCACAAAAGGGAGGCAUAACCACCUAGUCCUCGGUCCUGCAGGUCAAAGAAGCUACCUGGAAGAAACUGGUUCCAGACGUGAGAGUUUUAUUCCAAUAUGGCUUCCAGGAUCCCAGAGGACUCGACUUGUAGAGAGCAUCACUGGAGUCAAAAGGGCCGAGGUCCAGGGGCCAAGAACACACCUUGGUGCCAGAAGAAGUUCAUAAGUCUUGAAAUGCAGCAUCUCCUGAGCCCACACCUCUUUGAAGGUCCUGGCAUAUGGAAGGUCCUCCAAACUACUACUAACAUCUCCUGCCUCCGUGAAUGAUUUGCGUUCCUUUGGAGACAGCCUCCCAGGGGAAGUCCUGGAAACAGAACCCUCACUCCCCCUGUCUCCCCAAGAACAACACGAGUCAACAAAUCUGGAAUCCUUGCCUCUGUCCUC
rnacentral:lncRNA from 1 species